rnacentral:rRNA from 1 species
CAAAUUUUAGCUAGGCUGUAAAAAGCCCUAGCUACUGUAAGAUAAACAACGAAAGUAACUUUAAAGCAUCUGAAUACACGAUAGCUAGGGCCCAAACUGGGAUUAGAUACCCCACUAUGCCUAGCCUUAAACAUAAAAAAUUAUUAACAAAAUUUUUCGCCAGAGUACUACUAGCAAAAGCUAAAAACUCAAAGGACUUGGCGGUGCCUUAUAUCCCUCUAGAGGAGCCUGUUCUGUAAUCGAUAAACCCCGAUAGACCUCACCAACUCUGGCCAAAUCAGCCUAUAUACCGCCAUCUUCAGCAAACCCUAAAAAGGAAGCACAGUAAGCACAAUCAUCAGCAUAAAAACGUUAGGUCAAGGUGUAGCCCAUGAGUUGGAAAGAAAUGGGCUACAUUUCCCCAACCCGAGGAUACACACGAAAGCCCUUGUGAAACCAAGAGCCAAAGGUGGAUUUAGCAGUAAACUAAGAAUAGAGCGCUUAGUUGAAUAAGGCCAUGAGGCACGCACACACCGCCCGUCACCCUCCUCAAKCAAAAUAUCACACUCCUACAUARGUCUUGAACACCAGCCAGCAAGAGGAGAUAAGUCGUAACA